GUGGCGGUGGCGACGUCUCCUCCUCCGGGCCUGGCGGGGCGGGGGUUGCGCGGGGUGGGCCUGGAGCGGUUCGGGCUAGCCUGAGUCCGGCGUGUUUGGCUUCGGUUGCGUUUGGUUCGCUGCUACGUGCCCGACGUGGCCGCUGGUGGCCCGCGCCCGGCCCGGCCCGGCCGGACAGGCGGCGGUUCCUGGCUGAGGGGCAGCCCGGCCCCGUGAGUCACUUCCCGGCAGCGGCUGGAUUUUUCCAUUGCCCGUAAAGGGCAGCCGGAGCGGUGGCUGGGGCGAAGGCAGCGGCUUAGAGGGGUCCGCCCUGGGGUGGGAGGGAGGGAGCUCCUCCACAGGUCGGUCCCCAAGAGGCGUGAUGGGUGGAGCGGUGAGGGGUGAUGCUCCAGGCCCGAGCAAUAGACUGUCGGUAGAGAUGGGAAUCCAGACAAGGUUUAUAAGUGCAUAUUAAUUUGCAUUUAAAUGCCAUAGUAAGGUUUCCAAAUGCAGCAAAUCUAUCUACCAAGCAUCUCCUUGUAACAGGGUAAAGCCUACAAGGAACAGGUGAUAAACAUCACAAGCACUGGUUUUGUUUCAACUUCAGUGGUCCUGUAUGUGUGAACUAUGUUAUAUGAGUCUGAAAAUGUUUGCAAAAUAAGCAGUCAUAUGCUUUAAAAUAUGUGUAGGAGCAGCUGAUGAAAAAGGCACAAGAAAUAUGUUCUUAGAAUCAUAAAAUAGUUUGGAUUGGAAGGGACCUUCGAAGGUCAUCUAGACCAACCCCCCGCAAUGAGCAGGGACAUCUUCAACUAGAUCAGGUUGCUCAGAGCCCCGUCCAGCCUGGUCUGGAAUGUCUCCAGAGAUGGGGCAUCUACCACCUCUCUGGGCAACCUGGGCCAGUGUUUCACCACCCUCAGUGUAAACAAUUUCUUCCUCGUGUAGCCUGAAUCUCCCAUCCUUUCAUUUAAAACUAUUACCCCUUGUCCUAUUGUAACAGGGCCUGCUGAGAAGUCUGUUGAGUUGCUUGACUGUAGGGGUCUGGUAGCGUUUCAUGCACUCAAGAACUAGAUAACUGUCUGGUGAAAGUGGAUAUCAUUCCUUACUUGAAAGCAAUCCUCACAAACCAAUCCAAACUGCUGCAGCAUAACUUCUCUCAAGUGAUCACUUACUGGUAAGAGAAAGAAUGCUUAUGAAAAGACAUCAUAGUGUAAUUUCCUUUUUCUGUGUCAGAUAAUAUUAAUGGUCUGUUGUGUGAGAAGGAAUAGAGGAAAGAACAUAAUGCAUCCAGGAGAACAAAAAUCAAAUUUCCUGGAGCAAGAAGCCUGAUUGCUGAACAGCAUUACAUUCACAUGCAAAAUAGUUUUGUUUUUAUUUUCUCCAGAUGUAAAUAAAUAAACCUUUUUAUUAUCUCCAGAUGUAAAUAAGCAAACCUUUUUAUUAUCUUCAGAUGUAAAUAAAGGAAAUAGGGCAAGGUAAAAAAUCAAUGCAGACACAAUCUUCAGGAGUAUCUUUUAUUUAAAUAAAUUCCCAGUUUUAUUAGCACAUAAGUGAUUUCAGCAAGUUACUAUAAAAAUACUGUCUUGCUGGAAAGCGAUGCUGGCUUCUGUCAGUCGUGGCUUCUGUGUACAGGCAGUAAAGCUGACUGACAUUCAUCUUUCAGGCCGAAUAGAAGGAGGAGGAAGGACUGGGAUCAGAUUAAGGUUGCCAGAGACAAUGGAAAUCGAUGCUCACAAGCACGAGUUGCUUGCAAGGCCCAGCAGACUGAGGUUUUCCUGGUAACUGGUAGCAAACACAUCUGCUGAGACACAGGGCUGUGUGCAAGGCUGUCAUGAAAACCGUUCACAAAAAACCUUCACGUUCUUGUAGCUUUUUACUGUCUCCUGAAAAGCAGGUUCACUGUACAUUCUUUAUAAAUAUACGGGAUUAUACUGAAGAAUACAUCUGGUUUGUAUUUUUCAGUUCUCCUUUGAGUAGAUAUCAGCUAUAUUUUAUUGGUUAAAAGGGCAUUUUCUGCAUGGGUGAUUUGACAUCAAUCUUAACUCAAGUGUAUUAUUAUACUGAACACUGUGAUGUAAAUAUAGGCUGUCUUCCAGUGAGAAUGAGAGCUAAAGCUUUGAAAAGAGCUACAGGAGAGAAACCCUGUAAGAAAUCCAUGCACUGAAAGCACCCGACAGUGCAACUGUGAGCAUUGUUCUUCUAACAGAGGGCACAGCAAAGGGUAAGACACCGCCUGAAGGUCAGUUCUGUCAGACCGUGUUUCUCCAAGGUCCUCUGCUGUGGUGCAGAGUCAGAAGAUGCACCACAUCUCAGUAGGCUCACACUCACAGUAGGCUACGACAAGUAACGGUUGUAUUCCAUCAUUUCUGUUUUCCUUCCACUCAUGUGGAACCUGUGAUUACUGAUUUUCUUGUAUGAGAAGUCCUGUACCUUCCAAAACUUCAGCUACCAGUACUUAAUUAAAUUAAAAGACCAGUCUGGCUGAGAACAGGAAGUUCUGCCAGAGCCACCUAAAGUGUCACAUUUCACUGUCCCCAUCUUUCUUAAAAGCCCCCUUUAAGUACUGAAAGGCUGCAAUAAGUUCUCCCUGGAGACUCCUCUUCUCCAGGCUGAACAACCCCAACUCUCUCAGCUUGGCCUCAUAGGAGAGGUGUUGCAGCCCUCUGAUCACAGUACUAGCUUGUGAGCUGAUCAUAGAAUCACAGAAUUGGGAAGAAAACCUUUUGCUUACAAAGAAAAGUGGAGAUCAUAAUUGGGACUCCGCUAAGAAGAAAGAUGACGAAGUAACUUUUGCGAAAUGCCCUACCUGGAUGAGUAGGAACAGAAAUUAACAUUAAAAAAUAGAGUGAAGGCAGGGGAAGUGGAAUGCAAUUAGUAGUUAUUUAAGAUAAUGACAGACAGAAUGUGAACAGGGCUGCUGGACAGUAGAGGGUAAAGCCACUGCUUAUGAAGUUAAUAGGUUUUUCAGAGGCCGUAGUUACAAAAGCCAAUACCUCUCUCUCCCAAAAGUCUGUUUACUGGAUAUAUGGUAUAACUGUGUUAAGAAUUUAAAAAAAAAAAGAAAAAAAAAAAGCAGAAGUGCUCAUUUUAAACACAAGCUGGUGGCAGACCAGGGAAAUUCCGGAGGAAGGCAGAACUGGUAAGGCUAUGUCAAAAUUUAAAAAGUGAAAAUGAGAGCCAUGUAAUUGUAAACUACCUAGAUUAAUCUGAGUCCUUGGCAAGCCUCGUUUAAACAAUCAUGCCAAUGUUUUCAAAUACAAAAGGCCAGUUCAGCUAUGGUCAGGUCUGUAUUUACUUAAUGGGAUGUAUAAAGGAUGAAACUUCCCACCAGAGUAACUUGCUAUUCUGUUUUGCAGCAGAAGACGGGGAAGUCAGUGGCACUGUAGGUUCCCUCAGAAUCUGCUCUGAGGGAGAACAAUGUGCAAGCUGAUCCCUGCUGAGAUCUUGCAGAGUGCUGACUGCAGGUCAGUCCCAGCAGUAAUAAUACAAGAAAGGGUUUGUACUUACUGGCUGAUUAGCCAGUGAAUUUUCCAUGAAGUCCUAUUGCGGGAACAAGAAUAUGGAAGGUAGCUUGGGUGCUAAUGAUGUUCCUCAGGGACAUGCUAAAGCAGACUUGUUUCCGUACUACUGGGCUGCAGGUUGCCCGACGAGAUUAGGAUUACGUUUUUGAGAACCACAUUGUAACAAGAGACAACACUGCUGAGUUUCUGGCCAAAAUCCUCCACCUGCCCGUGAGUGAGAGCACCACACCGGGUUGCUGCUGCAUUGUACCCCAGAGGAGGCUGCGAGCCUGCGCAGGGUCAGACGCUGAUGAACUUGAGCUGUACUGGAGUGCCUGAUACCGCCAACCUUGGCAAAACUACAACAAGGUUAUCGACUGUGCAAAGAUUUGUACAAACCCUGUGCUGAAAACAGGGCACAGGAAAAUAACCCUGCUGAAAUCUUCGAUCGGGCUGUGACACUUCAAAUUAAGGCUGCUCUGGCAUAGUAGAAAUAAAAAGUGCUCUCAUUACAAGGAGUCUUUACAAAAAUUACUAAGCAGACCACUUUUUACUGAAAACAGAACAAUAAAAGUGCGGGUGGUUUGACAAAGCUAAUUUACUUUCCAGCUUUUCAGCUUUCCUAUUUGAAAAACAACGGGAAGCAGCCUAUUCUGGGUGCUCUUUGGUAGAAAUGUAAAAUAAUCCUGAUGUGGAUGUGUCCCUGUUGUGUCCUGAUAUGGUCUCACAUAGGACUGAUGCUUCAAUUCUGGGGGAAGAUGCUGAGCUGAUAUUUUUUUUAGGCUUGCCUUCAAAUCUAAAGGUGUCACUUUGCUUUAAACUCUUGCACCUUCGCACUCCUCUGCCUCCUUAGUGCAGAAGUGGAGCUCAGCUUUCUGCAGCUUUCAGCCCUAGCUGUCAGCUUUUGUCGGUUUACAUUUCACUUUUCCCUAAACCUGGAUGGGACGAGAGAAAUUAUAGGCCCUAGAGGACAUCGAAUAGUAUUUUUAUAUGACUAUUUGCACUAGCAAAGAAAAAAUAACUGCACAAAACAGAUCAGCUCUGUGCCAUGCACUGAAGAGUAAACACUAACUUUGUAUCUGCUGCUGUGAAAAGAGCCACUGUUCUGUGGUUCCUCUGAUUCAUGAGGAUCAGAGAGGAGCUAUGGACUCCAGCCCGGGAGUUGAAGCGGUUAAAUAGAGAAAGAGAUAAAGGAAACUGGAAUGAAGGAAACUGGAUUCCUCAGAUAAUGGCAGGGAAAAAAAAAAACAACCAGGAGAGGAUAUUUAACAAUUAAAAUAAUACUUAAAUUAUUACAAUUGCAAAGAACUAGGGACAACAGCCCUAAAAUGCCAUACAUGCAGGUGUUCUGUGAUGACAUGGGUGUAGACCGCUAUAUAUACAUCACUAUCACAGUCCUUUUUCUUUUGCCUUCUAGCUUAAAUACCAACGUAGAGCUGCUGUAUGCACACACAGGCUGCUGUAUGUGUACACAGACAUAAUUUAAGGGAAUUUAAGUGAGAUUUAACAGUAAUUUUCAAUAACUUUAACUCCUUUUAAAUUAAAAAAAAAGUGCUUUUGACCUUACAUUUUUUAUGUUUGCUUCUUCACAAAAAGUAUGAGCAACCUUAAAAUUUUCUCCUGGUAACAGUGUGAAGAAAAACACUGAUCUAAAAUGUUCUACCACUUUCAUAUAAACCAAAUCAUUAUUAAAAAAAGCUUUUUAAAAAGUUGGAUUUUAAGUUCAGCAAAUGGCUAGACCUCAAGAGAACACUCUUGACAGUUUUAAUUUUUGAAAAUCAGAGAUGUCGAAAAGCAGUCAUUAUAGCAUUGCUUAUUAAAUCUAGUAGAAUUUUGCUGUUACACUAUGUACAAAUGUCAGCAGCGGUUAAGUGUUAACACCUCUCAUUCUUCAGGACAAUGCUUAAAUGCAUAAACACGUGCCUGCUGGAAUUCAGAUUGCCAUUAAAUGAUUUGUUGAUUUGCAUUCCUUAACAUCACACAAGCUGUUGCAUUAGUACAUUUGUCCUUCUCAGUUUGACCACUUAGGAAAUUCUUAAGCACUUGCUUUUCUCCUGUAGCAGAUAAUGGUUUGGUACCACUGGUAAUUUAGUUUUUAGCAUAAGUAUUAAGUGGGUACAUGGAAGGUUUACUUUUUUCAAUAGGAACAGUAUUCUCAAUACUCUCAAGAAAAUAGAGGGUAACAACACUGCCCUGUCACAGUGAAAACAUAGCCAAGAAUGCAGGUAAAAAAUCAAGGAUACAACAUCUCUUUCACUUUAAAUGUGCCAAAUAUCAGGAGUAAAAUUUAACUCAUUGACUAUGAAAAUACUGAAAUUUUCUAACAAAGAGUAAUUUGUGGCAAAAAUCACUAGCUAGGGGCUGGAGAACAUUUGAAUUAAGCCCUUGUGUCUUUUGUGAAUUUAGACUUUUUUUCUCCUUCUGAAAUGCUCUAAGAAGCUCACUUAAGCCAGGCAUUAUGCAAAGCCUGUGUUCCUGCCUUUGCACAGAGGGCGGGAGGCAGGAGAACAGUUUGCCUGUAUACGAUUUAAGAGUAUAAGUUAAUGUACUUCAGCACAUUGUGAUCAAGCUAGAGCUUGCAUCCUAGUGCAAAAACACCUACAAGAAAGAAUUGGGCAAAGUAUUUUCAAAACUACACAUGGGUUUAUCCUUGCUUCUGUCCUCUUGGCUUUGUUAUACCUUAAGAAUGAAUACAGUUGCUCACAUGGAAGAAUAAGUGAAGGCAGAUUGCCAGUUUACCAUUGUGGGAAAACAAAAACAUAUAGUUAAAGACUGGCUUCACUAGAGGUAAUAAGAGAAAUAGGAAAGCCAUCUAAGCUCAACAUCUAGAUUACACUCUUAUUUCAGGCGAGUUCUGAACCUAAGUGAAUUGUAUGUUAAUCCACUCCUAAGCAAAUCUAUCUGAAUAUAAGCGAUGUAUUAAAAAUCUUUAAGCAACCCAGUGUGAGAAUAUUUGUGUUCCUUUCACUUCAAACUCUGAAGUACAAUAAAUUAAACUAUGCUUCCAU